GAUGAACGCUGGCGGCGUGCUUAACACAUGCAAGUCGAACGGAAAGGCCCAAGCUUGCUUGGGUACUCGAGUGGCGAACGGGUGAGUAACACGUGGGUGAUCUGCCCUGCACUUCGGGAUAAGCCUGGGAAACUGGGUCUAAUACCGGAUAGGACCACAUUUUGGAUGGUGUGGUGGAAAGUUUUUCGGUGUGGGAUGAGCUCGCGGCCUAUCAGCUUGUUGGUGGGGUAAUGGCCUACCAAGGCGUCGACGGGUAGCCGGCCUGAGAGGGUGUACGGCCACAUUGGGACUGAGAUACGGCCCAGACUCCUACGGGAGGCGGCAGUGGGGAAUAUUGCACAAUGGGCGCAAGCCUGAUGCAGCGACGCCGCGUGGGGGAUGACGGCCUUCGGGUUGUAAACUCCUUUCGCUAGGGACGAAGCGCAAGUGACGGUACCUGGAGAAGAAGCACCGGCUAACUACGUG
rnacentral:rRNA from 1 species